GCACAAGCGGUGGAUGAUGUGGUUUAAUUCGAUGCAACGCGAAAACCUUACCCACCUUUGACAUGUACGGAACCUUUAGAGAUAGAGGGGUGCUCGAAAGAGAGCCGUAACACAGGUGCUGCAUGGCUGUCGUCAGCUCGUGUCGUGAGAUGUUGGGUUAAGUCCCGCAACGAGCGCAACCCUUGUCAUUAGUUGCUACAUUCAGUUGGGCACUCUAAUGAGACUGCCGGUGACAAGCCGGAGGAAGGUGGGGAUGACGUCAAGUCCUCAUGGCCCUUAUAGGUGGGGCUACACACGUCAUACAAUGGCUGGUACAAAGGGUUGCCAACCCGCGAGGGGGAGCCAAUCCCAUAAAGCCAGUCGUAGUCCGGAUCGUAGUCUGCAACUCGACUACGUGAAGUCGGAAUCGCUAGUAAUCGUGGAUCAGAAUGUCACGAUGAAUACGUUCCCGGGUCUU
rnacentral:rRNA from 1 species